ensembl:lncRNA
AAGAACUACAUUUCCCAUCUGCCCCGGCUGUCACGGGCUAAUAGCACCAGCUGCUUUCCAUUACCCUAAUGAGGGAUUCUACUGCUGCAACGAGACCAAAUACAACGAAAUUAUCGAUGCUGCAAAAGAAGACGGAUCUUUUGGUAGGCUGGUUAACGAUGACCACAAGCACCCAAAUGGCAGAAUACAGAAGACUGAAGUGGAUGGAAGCCCACAUCUUGGUCUGUUUGCUUUAACAGACUUUAAAGAAGGAGAUGACAUUACCUACAAUUACAGAGGAACGGACUGGUCUUGGCGUAGCAAGCAGAUUAUGGAGGAGGGCACUGCUGAGAGCAAUGGCCAGGAGAAACGGCAGCCAUCACAGUCUACACCUUUUCUGGAUCAGAACACUGCUAGCGGUCCAUCAGCGACUGAACAGUUCUUUUUGCAGAGGAGAUGGAGCUAAUCAGCGAUGAAAUAAUGAGUGAGGAAGGUGAGACGUGAAGAACUUGAAGGUAAAACAUCUACUCUGUAAAAGAGGAAGGCUUGAGAAGUAAAUGAGGUCCAUGCAGUGGAGAGACGUAUGAAGACCUUCAUCAUGUCAUGUCGUGUCCCAGGGGAGCUGGCCUUUGAAAACUGCAUUAGAUCUGAGCCUUUAGCUCUGAAAGAUAGAGACUGGCAAAGUGUCAAAUUCUGUCUACAACCGCAUUGUGGCUUACAAAAGAGAUAUAAACAAAGAUUAAAUAACACUUUACAUCUAUAGUAAUGCUUUAAUAAGUUACAUCAUAUCUCUAGCUUUUUACUUUGUAAUAAACCAGUCAGCAUUUAAUUCAUAAUAAACUAACCAGGAACAAAUCGGUAUUAUUUAAAAUAUCCAUUAGAAUCUUUACCUACACCUUUUCCAUUGAAUGUGAUUGAAUUGGUUUGGGCCGCCUUCUUCCAGUGGGUCCUUAUGCAGUUGGCUGACAGGUUCAUGAGUAAGCCUGUUGGGCAGUGUGCUACCCAUUUACAUGUUUAGACUAAAUUAGCUACCUCAACAUACAUUAUUAAGUUGUUACUGCCACUUUUUAGCCUAGCCAGUCAAGUGGAUAAUACAGAAUAAAGGGGGGAAAUUGUGCUUUCGACAUUUGGGGUUCUGUCUUUGCAUCACUGUGUUUGGCUAGCAUCUUUAUUUUCCUCAGUAUGUUUCAUUUUGAGGUGGCUGUGUGUAGUAAGCAGGAGUGUCGAACUUCAUCAUUGAAAGUAUUAUUGAGGCUUAUAAUACUUUAAUGCAAUUUGUUUUUAAGUGGUAAAUUAUACAGUAAAAGCUAGUCACGAUUGCUUGAUUAUAGAAUGCUCAGUGUUCAUUGUUACUGGGCGUAUUUAUUUACUUUUGGAUGUAGGUGUAAGUUUUAGUUUGUACUUUCACCUAACACGUGCAAUAAGAAGUGUGCUUAACAGGUUUGUAGUACUCUGAAUGAGUUCAAGUUCAUUCAUGUCACAUGUGAGAUUAGUAGUUGUGCACUUUAAUGGGCAAAUAUUUGUUGACUUUUACAGUAAAGAAGCUCAAGACUCGAGUUGUUUUCAUGAUGUUGAAUAGACAAGGUUUAUUUAAUCUGAGAGAUGUUCACUUUAAUAAAGAGUUCCAGACCAGUAAACAAAUCCUUCAUGCAGCUAAAAUAUCAAAAGGAUGUGUUUGUGUCAUUUAGACUAAUUCUGACUGGGAAUAAUGUUAAUUUGUGUUGCAUGCCUGUGAUAAAUAAGUGAGGUUCAGUACAGCAAGCGGCUCUACUUUCUUUUACACAAAAUAAUGUUUACUUUGGAGCAGGAAAUGAAAAGCUUCUUAGAAUGAUAGCCUCAAACCUAAUAAUAGCCCUGGUACCUCCUUCCUUAACAGGUUCCUCGGUUUCUCAAAGGGUUCCUCUGUUGGAAAUUGAAAGCUCCAGAAGAAAUUUAGUCUGUUAUCUAUUAUGUGCAGAUAUUGCAAUUUCUGUAAGAGCUUUUUUGAUAGCCUUAUUUGUGAAAUAUGCAAUCAGUGAAAGUUUAGUUAAGAGUCCUUGGUAUAAACAAUUAAGAACAAUUCUUCAAUAUCAUUUCAUGAGAAGCUUAAACCUUCAAAUA